AGCUUUUAUUUUAAAACCAUUUUAACAUUUAUAUAUUUUUUCUAAAAAACCUAAUGCUCUUAAACCCCCCCUUUUUAUCUCUUCCUCCUUUCUUCAGCUAGGGUUUCAACACCCAUCAUCGCCGGUGGUUCACCGUGCCGAACGGAGAGGGGAGCGGCCACGGGGUAGAUCCGGUAAGACUCUUUUCUUCCUUGAUUCUUUUUUGUUUUAAAGUAAGUUAAUGAAAUAAAAAAUAAAACAAAGCAAAGAUAAAUAGAAAGAUUGAGAUAACAGAGGAAAAAAAAUUGAAGUUCACCUUCUAAGCUUUUCUUUUUUCUUUUGUUUUUGAUACAAACUUUUUGUAUUUUCCCCCCCAAAAAAAAACCCCACAUAUUUUCGAUUGAGGCUUCUUAUAGCCGAAUACCAAGCAAAUUUCUAUUGUUUGUUGCGUUUUUGCUCUGUUCUCUGUAGUUGUGUCUCGUUUUGCAGGCGAUGUCAGACGCAUGGAUGAGAAGGGCAUGCGCGGGGUGUGGUGGUGGUAGUGCGCAAGGUGGCCCAUGGUUGGCCUAGCGUGCGGCGGCUGGAGGCUUGGGGAGCUGCUAAGGUUUCCUCUUUUUUUUUCUUUGGAAAAUGUUUAGUGGGCUAGGUUGAUUUGGGUCUGUUGGGCUAGUCUUUUAGUUUUGUACUUUGGACUUUAUUUAUUUGGUUUAUUGGAUUUUGUUAUUUUUUAUUUGUCUGGGCCAAAAAUUGGUCAUUACAACAUUUAUAAAUAUAAAAACUCGAUUAAGCUUUAUCAAUUAUUUGAAUUGAGUAUUAAGAUAUUUAAAUUAUUCUUAUUCGAUAGCUCGUGUAAGAUUAAUUAAAAAAUAAUUCAAUUCAAUUCAAUUUUUUCUCAAAUCAAAGUAGAAUAAUUUUCAAAUACAAUGUUUGAUUUACA
rnacentral:lncRNA from 1 species